CUUGCCCCCAAGGAGCUCACAGUCUAUUGAGUUGCCAUUCUGACUUCCCCACUAGAUUAUGAGCUCCUGGAGGGCAGG
rfam:Oryctolagus cuniculus chromosome 14, whole genome shotgun sequence.